GCAUCGAUGGGUUAGUAGUAGAAUUCUUGCUUUCCCUGCAGGAGACCCAGGUUUGAGUCCUGGCCAGUGCA
rnacentral:tRNA from 1 species